CCAAUAGCGUAUAUUAAAGUUGUUGCAGUUAAAAAGCUCGUAGUUGAACUUCGGGGUUUACCCAUUGGUCAGGCUUAAUUGUCUGUACUGGUGAGAUAAAUCUCUACCUUCUGGGGAACUUUCAUGUCAUUAAUUUGGUGUGAUUGGAAAUCAGGACUGUUACUUUGAAAAAAUUAGAGUGUUUAAAGCAGGCUAACGUCUGAAUACAUUAGCAUGGAAUAAUGAAAUAGGACGGACUGAUUCUAUUUCGUUGGUUUCUAGGAUCACCGUAAUGAUUAAUAGGGAUAGUUGGGGGCAUUAGUAUUCAAUUGUCAGAGGUGAAAUUCUUGGAUUUAUUGAAGACUAACUACUGCGAAAGCAUUUGCCAAGGAUGUUUUCAUUAAUCAAGAACGAAAGUUAGGGGACCGAAGACGAUCAGAUACCGUCGUAGUCUUAACCAUAAACUAUGCCGACUAGGGAUCGGACGAAGUUAAUUUUAUAAUGACGCGUUCGGCACCUUACG
rnacentral:rRNA from 1 species